UUAAUUCCGCUAGACUAUCUAGCUUAGUGAUAUAUCUCAAAACCUAACUGGACGCAGGAAAUCAAACUUGUAUUGGAGCGUGUCCGGAGCAAACGUUUUCGACUUAAGUUUUUUGACUUGUGGAUGUCAUGUCUUCGGAUGAGGUCGGGGCGCAGUGCGCAGUGCGCGACAUGGACCCGGAGCGACAGCCGCUGCUCACGCGUGUUCAGACACAACACAGGUGCGGAGGCGGGCCGCUGUCGCACGCCGAGGUGUGUGCGGCGCGGCGCGCGUGCGGGUGGCGCG